AUACGGGGGAUUCAAGCGUUAUCCGGACUUAUUGGGUUUAAAGGGUGCGCAGGCGGGAGAUUAAGUCGGCGGUGAAAUUUUUCAGCUCAACUGUAAAAAUGCCCUCGGAAAUGGGUUCCUUGAGGGUAGAUGAAGAAGGCGGAAUUUGUGGUGUAGCGGUGAAAUGCAUAGAUAUCACGAGGAACUCCGAUUGCGCAGGCAGCUUACUAAACUACUACUGACGCUCAGGCACGAAGGCGUGGGGAUCAAACAGGAUUAGAUACCCUGGUAGUCCACGCAGUAAACGAUGAUUACUAGCUGUUUGCGAUACAAUGUAAGCGGCUGAGCGAAAGCGUUAAGUAAUCCACCUGGGGAGUACGUUCGCAAGAAUGAAACUCAAAGGAAUUGACGGGG
rnacentral:rRNA from 1 species